rnacentral:rRNA from 1 species
AACGAACGCUGGCGGCAGGCUUAACACAUGCAAGUCGAACGCAUCCUUCGGGGCGAGUGGCAGACGGGUGAGUAACGCGUGGGAAUCUACCCAUCUCUGCGGAAUAGCUCCGGGAAACUGGAAUUAAUACCGCAUACGCCCUACGGGGGAAAGAUUUAUCGGGGAUGGAUGAGCCCGCGUUGGAUUAGCUAGUUGGUGGGGUAAAGGCCUACCAAGGCGACGAUCCAUAGCUGGUCUGAGAGGAUGAUCAGCCACAUUGGGACUGAGACACGGCCCAAACUCCUACGGGAGGCAGCAGUGGGGAAUAUUGGACAAUGGGCGCAAGCCUGAUCCAGCCAUGCCGCGUGAGUGAUGAAGGCCUUAGGGUUGUAAAGCUCUUUCACCGAUGAAGAUAAUGACGGUAGUCGGAGAAGAAGCCCCGGCUAACUUCGUGCCAGCCGCCGCAGUAAAAC